rnacentral:rRNA from 1 species
UACGAAGGGGGCUAGCGUUGCUCGGAAUCACUGGGCGUAAAGCGCACGUAGGCGGCUUGUUAAGUCAGGGGUGAAAUCCUGGAGCUCAACUCCAGAACUGCCUUUGAUACUGGCGAGCUUGAGUCCGAGAGAGGUGAGUGGAACUGCGAGUGUAGAGGUGAAAUUCGUAGAUAUUCGCAAGAACACCAGUGGCGAAGGCGGCUCACUGGCUCGGUACUGACGCUGAGGUGCGAAAGCGUGGGGAGCAAACAGG